AGACUUGCCUGGCAGGGGAGAAACAAUGAUCAUGAAGGUUGUGCUCCCAGGAUGAGGUUACCCCAUUGCACUCUGGGUGUGCUGAUGCCUGGGUUGUCGCCAAAUGCGGGAUACUCGCCUGCAAAAUUAUUGGUAUUGGAGUACUGCGUCCGUGCUUUCCCCUG